UCGAACGAGACCUUCGGGUCUAGUGGCGCACGGGUGCGUAACGCGUGGGAACCUGCCUUUAGGUUCGGAAUAACUCAGAGAAAUUUGAGCUAAUACCGGAUAAUGUCUUCGGACCAAAGAUUUAUCGCCUUUAGAUGGGCCCGCGUUGGAUUAGCUAGUUGGUGGGGUAAAGGCCUACCAAGGCGACGAUCCAUAGCUGGUCUUAGAGGAUGAUCAGCCACACUGGGACUGAGACACGGCCCAGACUCCUACGGGAGGCAGCAGUGGGGAAUAUUGGACAAUGGGCGAAAGCCUGAUCCAGCAAUGCCGCGUGAGUGAUGAAGGCCCUAGGGUUGUAAAGCUCUUUUACCAGGGAUGAUAAUGACAGUACCUGGAGAAUAAGCUCCGGCUAACUCCGUGCCAGCAGCCGCG
rnacentral:rRNA from 1 species